rnacentral:rRNA from 1 species
CCCCACUGCUAUCGAGGUGGGACUAAGCCAUGCUAGUCGAACGACCCGGACUAUGGCGGGGAGUGGCAGACUGCUCAGUAACACGUAGCUAACCUACCCUCGGGACGGGGAUAACCCCGGGAAACUGGGGCUAAUACCCGAUAGGUGUGGAUUCCUGGAAUGGUGCCAUGCCUAAACGUAAGCACAUCCAUGUUUGUGUGCACGCCCGAGGAUGGGGCUGCGGCCGAUCAGGCAGUUGGUGAGGUAACGGCUCACCAAACCUUUGACCGGUACGGGCCAUGAGAGUGGUAGCCCGGAGAUGGGCACUGAGACAAGGGCCCAGGCCCUACGGGGCGCAGCAGGCGCGAAACCUCCACAAUUCACGAAAGUGAGAUGGGGUUACCUCGAGUGCCGUCUGAAGAAGGCGGCUUUUCCAUGGUGUAACAAGCCGUGGGAAUAAGGGGGGGGCAAGACUGGUGUCAGCCGCCGCGGUAACACCAGCCCCCCGAGUGGUGGGGAUGAUUAUUUGGCCUAAAACGUCCGUAGCCGGCUUUGUAAAUCUCUCGUUAAAUCCAGCGUCCUAAGCGUUGGGCUGCGAGAGACACUGCAGAGCUAGAGGGUGGGAGAGGUCAGCGGUAUUCCUGGGGUAGGGGCGAAAUCCAUUGAUCCCAGGAGGACCACCAGUGGCGAAGGCUGCUGUCCAGAACACGCCUGACGGUCAGGGACGAAAGCUGGGGUAGCGAAUCGGAUUAGAUACCCGAGUAGUCCCAGCCGUAAACGAUGCAGGCUAGGUGUUGGGUCGGCCACGCGCCGCCUCAGUGCCACAGGGAAGCCAUUAAGCCUGCCGCCUGGGGAGUACGGCCGCAAGGCUGAAACUUAAAGGAAUUGGCGGGGGAGCACCACCAGGCGUGAAGCCUGCGGUUU